rnacentral:rRNA from 1 species
UCGAACGGUGACGCUAGAGCUUGCUCUGGUUGAUCAGUGGCGAACGGGUGAGUAACACGUGAGUAACCUGCCCUUGACUCUGGGAUAACUCCGGGAAACCGGGGCUAAUACCGGAUACGAGACGCGACCGCAUGGUCGGCGUCUGGAAAGUUUUUCGGUCAAGGAUGGACUCGCGGCCUAUCAGCUUGUUGGUGAGGUAAUGGCUCACCAAGGCGUCGACGGGUAGCCGGCCUGAGAGGGCGACCGGCCACACUGGGACUGAGACACGGCCCAGACUCCUACGGGAGGCAGCAGUGGGGAAUAUUGCACAAUGGGCGAAAGCCUGAUGCAGCGACGCCGCGUGAGGGAUGAAGGCCUUCGGGUUGUAAACCUCUUUCAGUAGGGAAGAAGCGAAAGUGACGGUACCUGCAGAAGAAGCGCCGGCUAACUACGUGCCAGCAGCCGCGGUAAUACGUAGGGCGCAAGCGUUGUCCGGAAUUAUUGGGCGUAAAGAGCUCGUAGGCGGUUUGUCGCGUCUGGUGUGAAAACUCAAGGCUCAACCUUGAGCUUGCAUCGGGUACGGGCAGACUAGAGUGUGGUAGGGGUGACUGGAAUUCCUGGUGUAGCGGUGGAAUGCGCAGAUAUCAGGAGGAACACCGAUGGCGAAGGCAGGUCACUGGGCCACUACUGACGCUGAGGAGCGAAAGCAUGGGGAGCGAACAGGAUUAGAUACC